UACGAAGGGGGCUAGCGUUGCUCGGAAUCACUGGGCGUAAAGGGUGCGUAGGCGGGUCUUUAAGUCAGGGGUGAAAUCCUGGAGCUCAACUCCAGAACUGCCUUUGAUACUGGGGAUCUCGAGUCCGGAAGAGGUGAGUGGAACUGCGAGUGUAGAGGUGAAAUUCGUAGAUAUUCGCAAGAACACCAGUGGCGAGGGCGGCUCACUGGUCCGGUACUGACGCUGAGGUGCGAAAGCGUGGGGAGCAAACAGG
rnacentral:rRNA from 1 species